UACAGAGGUCCCGAGCGUUGUUCGGAUUCAUUGGGCGUAAAGGGUGCGUAGGCGGCGAGGUAAGUCUGAUGUGAAAUCCCGGGGCUCAACCCCCGGAACUGCAUUGGAUACUGCCUUGCUUGAGUACUGGAGAGGGAACUGGAAUUUACGGUGUAGCAGUGAAAUGCGUAGAGAUCGUAAGGAAGGCCAGUGGCGAAGGCGAGUUCCUGGACAGUUACUGACGCUGAGGCACGAAAGGCCCAGGGGGAGCAAAACGGGG
rnacentral:rRNA from 1 species